CAAAGAGGAAGACGGUCAUGGUAAUCCUCCGAAACAGCUUUAACGUCUCCUCGGGAUCCUAUUUGUUUUGCCCUCUGUGCUUCAAUCGUAUGGAUGAAGUCGUGUUUUUUCUUCUCCUGUAACCCCUAGAAACAAGAAAAUGGUGGGGCAUGUGCGUUGACUGUCUAGACCAAACCCUGCUGUACUGUAUUAUGUGAAACGGAUCUCUCCAAACCCAAGCUCAAGCAGGAAGCCCUGACAUCCCAGCAGACUGGAUGAAAGACUAAUGGGAUCUCUCACCAUCACAACGUAGACUCACAGGUCAUGUGGACGGAUGCAGUUUCUACAACACCCGAGUGAAUACUGAGAUGAAAAGUCUACAGUGGGGUCCAAAAUGGACAGCCUUUAUAAAGAUGAGCAAUAAUGACCGUAUGAAGUAAAUCAUUCAAAUACUGAGCUAUAUUGUACGCUCCAACAAAUUGGGAAGUUAUACUAUUUGGUGCUAGUUCAAUUGCGCAGAGAAAGACAUUUUGUGUAACAAGGUAGGGGUCAAAAUGAUUGAUUGUUUAGUAUUUUGUACCAUAUUCCUAGCACGCAAUGACUACAUCAAGAUCGUGACUCUACAAACUUGUUGGAUGCAUUUGCAGUUUGUUUUGGUUGUGUUUCAGAUGAUCUUAUGCCCAAUAGAAAUGAAUAGUCAAUCAUCUAUUGUCAUUUUGGAGUCCUUUUUAAUUGGUAAUAAGUAUAUAAUUUGUUAAACACUUUUACAUAAAUGUGGAUGCCACCAUAAUUAUGAAUAAUCCUGAAUGAAUUGUGAAUAAUGAUGAGUGAGAAGGUUACAGAGAGUCAAAGAUCAUACCCCCAAGACAUACUAACCUAGCAUGUCUGGUGGUAUGAUCUUUGACAAAUUUCAGACCCCACUGUAUUUCCACAUCAUAUGCUGUAAGCUGGAAUGUUGUUGUCAUCAUAUGGGAAAGAUACCUGCCCUGGGUGAAAAAUACCCUUCUCUAUGUUUCAGGCUUUAAUCCUCCAUGUAACAAUAAGUUCAUGUUUAUUUGUAGUAUAUAGAUAUGUAAUGUAUGCUUCAGGAUAUACAGGUUGGAAAUAUAUGUAAAUCCUUAGGUAAUGUUUAUCACGUUUCAGGUAAGACCCAAAUGCAAACUGUGUUGAAGUAAAUAUGUGUAUUACAGCAACAGGGGCAGGCAAAUGACAGGUCAUGGGGUCGAUAAUCCAGAGUAGUGGCAAAGGCACAGGACGGCAGGCAGGCUCAGGGUCAGGUCAGCCAGAGGUCGGUAAUCCAGAGUAGGUGCAAAGGCACAGGACGAUAGGGAGGCUCAGGGGCAUGGGCAUGCAGAGUUGUCGGGCAGGCGGGCUCAGAGUCAGGACAGGCAAAGGUCAAAACCAGGGGAGCAAGAAAAAGAGAGACUGUGGAAAAACAGGAACUGAGACAAACUGCUGGUUGACUUGACAAACAAGAC